rnacentral:rRNA from 1 species
UACGUAGGGUGCAAGCGUUAAUCGGAAUCACUGGGCGUAAAGCGCACGUAGGCGGAUUGCUAAGUCAGGGGUGAAAUCCUGGAGCUCAACUCCAGAACUGCCUUCGAUACUGGGAGUCUCGAGUCCGGGAGAGGUGAGUGGAACUGCGAGUGUAGAGGUGAAAUUCGUUAGAUAUUCGCAAGAACACCAGUGGCGAAGGCGGC